rnacentral:rRNA from 1 species
UACGUAGGGGGCAAGCGUUGUCCGGAAUCAUUGGGCGUAAAGGGCUCGUAGGCGGCCAACUAAGUCGGACGUGAAAUCCCCAGGCUCAACCUGGGAACUGCGUCCGAUACUGGAUGGCUUGAAUUCGGGAGAGGGAUGCAGAAUUCCAGGUGUAGCGGUGAAAUGCGUAGAUAUCUGGAGGAAUACCGGUGGCGAAGGCGGCAUCCUGGACCGACAUUGACGCUGAUGAGCGAAAGCUAGGGGAGCAAACGGG